rnacentral:lncRNA from 1 species
AACGCCAGACGAUUUUACUCAUCAAGGGGAGAGCGCUGGCGCUUAAUGGGUUAAUAUAAGCAAAAUCUUGUUUUAUUAAAUUAUCCAUUGUUAGAUGGCAUGCAAAAUAACAACACAGCAUUGCCAAGAAUUUGUAUUCUUGUUGGAAUUUCCUAUAUUGAGCACUUACUAUAUUUCACUCUGUCUAACAAUUUGGAACUAAUUUGGUAAAGGAACAUGGCAAUAAUGCCUCAUAAAGGCCACAUGCAUUAUAUUGUUUUGGUUCAGUUUUUUAUACACUAUGCAUGGAUAGACUUUAAUUGGCAAAACUACAAUGGUGACAGUUUUGUAAAUAAGUUAAUAUUGAGGAAGAUAAUUAAUUGUAUAAUGUUUUGAUAGAUAUUUUCAACGUUAAAUUUUAUUAAAGUUAAA